UGAUUCUACAGGGAGGAGAAAUUUCAGAAGCCACAGGUGAGGAAGUCAGCACUUGAGAAGACAAUGACGCUGCAUUAAUCAGAAAACAUCACCCAGACAUCCAGACAUUAGCAUGCUUUAACAGAAAUGUCAUACAUGUACAGAAGCCGAUGAUGGGAAAGGUAAGUAACACUGCUUGAAAAAUCUUAUAAUAGACAAAAAA